rnacentral:rRNA from 1 species
AAAUUGACCGUACCCUAAACCGACACCGGUGAACGAGUCGAGUAGACUCAGGCGUUGAGAGAACCAUAUUGAAGGAACUCGGCAAAUUUUUCCUGUACCUUUGGAAGAAAGGAAGCCAAUUUUGGUGACACAAAAAUGGGGGUGACGACUUUUUACUAAAAAAUUAGGACUCUGCAAAAUGGGAACAUGAAGUAUAGGGUCUGACGUCUGCCCGGUGCUAGAAGUAUAAAAGGAGUGUUGAAAGAUACGAAUGGAAAGCCUAGUAAACGGCGGUUGUAACUAUAACAAUCAUAAAGUAGCGAAAUUCAUUGUCAGCUAAUUCCUGACCUGCAUGAAAGGCGUAACGAUUGCCCCACUGUCUCCAGUGUGGACUCAGUGAAAUUGAAUUCUCCGUGCAGAUGCGGAGUACGUGCCCCAAGACGAGAAGACCCUGUGCAUCUUUACUGUACAUUUACAUUGACAAAACCAUACGUAUGUGUAGGAUAGGUGGGAGUACAAACAUCCUUGAAAUACCACCCUUACUAUGUUUUUUGUCUAACAUCGGAGAUAGACAAUGUAUGUGAGGCAGUUUGACUGGGGCGGUCGCCUCCUAAAGAGUAACGGAGGCGUGCGAAGGUAAACUCAAUGUAGAUCGGAAACCUACUGAAGAGCGUAAUGGUAUAUGUUUGCCUGACUGCAAGAUUUACAGAUCGAGCAGAGACGAAAGUCGGUCAUAAUGAUCCACAAGUACUGCGUGGAAAGGCUUGUGCUUAACGAAUCAAAGAUACGCCAGGGAUAACAGGCUGAUAAUUCCCUAGAGUCCAUAUCGACGGAAUUGUUUGGCACCUCGAUGUUGACUGAUCAUAUCCUGGGGCUGAAGAAGGUCCCAAGGGUUCGGCUGUUCGCCGAGUAACAUGGUACCUGAGUUGAGUUUAGAACGUCGUGAGACAGUUUGGAUUCUACCUGGGGUGCGCGUAAGAAUUGAGAAAACCACAUCCUUGUACGAGAGGACCGGAUGUGUACAACCUCUGGUAUAGUAAUUGUCCGGCCACGGGCAUGGUUACUACGCUACGUUGUGAAAGGAUAAGUACUGAAAGCAUAUCAAGUACGAAACUUUUUUCAAGACAUAUUCUUUAUCGUAUUGUAUAUCGUACAAGUUGAGUACGUUAAUAGAUAAGCUGUGUAUUAUUUGUAAAAAUAGAAGCAUCCUUAUACUAAACUAUACAUUUUUUUUUCUGU